rnacentral:miRNA from 1 species
UGCAUUGUAUGUGUUGACAUGAU